rnacentral:tRNA from 1 species
GCCGAUGUGGUGAAAUUGGUAGACACGCCAUCUUGAGGGGGUGGUGGGGAGACCCGUGCCGGUUCGACUCCGGCCAUCGGCACCA